GAUGAACGCUGGCGGCGUGCCUAAUACACGCAAGUCGAGCGAAUGGAUUAAGAGCUUGCUCUUAUGAAGUUAGCGGCGGACGGGUGAGUAACACGUGGGUAACCUGCCCAUAAGACUGGGAUAACUCCGGGAAACCGGGGCUACUACCGGAUAACAUUUUGAACCGCAUGGUUCGAAAUUGAAAGGCGGCUUCGGCUGUCACUUAUCGAUGGACCCGCGCCGCAUUAGCCAGUUGGUGAGGUAACGGCUCAACAAGGCAACGAUGCGUAGCCGACCUGAGAGGGUGAUCGGCCACACUGGGACUGAGACACGGCCCAGACUCCUACGGGAGGCAGCAGUAGGGAAUCUUCCGCAAUGGACGAAAGUCUGACGGAGCAACGCCGCGUGAGUGAUGAAGGCUUUCGGGUCGUAAAACUCUGUUGUUAGGGAAGAACAAGUGCUAGUUGAAUAAGCUGGCACCUUGACGGUACCUAACCAGAAAGCCACGGCUAACUACGUGCCAGCCGCCGCCGUAA
rnacentral:rRNA from 1 species